rnacentral:rRNA from 1 species
UUAAGUUAUUAAGGGCGCACGGUGGAUGCCUUGGCACUAGAAGCCGAUGAAGGACGUUACUAACGACGAUAUGCUUUGGGGAGCUGUAAGUAAGCUUUGAUCCAGAGAUUUCCGAAUGGGGAAACCCAGCAUGAGUUAUGUCAUGUUAUCGAUAUGUGAAUACAUAGCAUAUCAGAAGGCACACCCGGAGAACUGAAACAUCUUAGUACCCGGAGGAAGAGAAAGAAAAUUCGAUUCCCUUAGUAGCGGCGAGCGAAACGGGAAGAGCCCAAACCAACAAGCUUGCUUGUUGGGGUUGUAGGACACUCUGUACGGAGUUACAAAGGACGACAUUAGACGAAUCAUCUGGAAAGAUGAAUCAAAGAAGGUAAUAAUCCUGUAGUCGAAAAUGUUGUCUCUCUUGAGUGGAUCCUGAGUACGACGGAGCACGUGAAAUUCCGUCGGAAUCUGGGAGAACCAUCUCCUAAGGCUAAAUACUCUCUAGUGACCGAUAGUGAACCAGUACCGUGAGGGAAAGGUGAAAAGCACCCCGGAAGGGGAGUGAAAUAGAACCUGAAACCGUGUGCUUACAAGUAGUCAGAGCCCGUUAAUGGGUGAUGGCGUGCCUUUUGUAGAAUGAACCGGCGAGUUACGAUUUGAUGCAAGGUUAAGCAGUAAAUGUGGAGCCGUAGCGAAAGCGAGUCUGAAUAGGGCGUUUAGUAUUUGGUCGUAGACCCGAAACCAGGUGAUCUACCCUUGGUCAGGUUGAAGUUCAGGUAACACUGAAUGGAGGACCGAACCGACUUACGUUGAAAAGUGAGCGGAUGAACUGAGGGUAGCGGAGAAAUUCCAAUCGAACCUGGAGAUAGCUGGUUCUCUCCGAAAUAGCUUUAGGGCUAGCCUCAAGUGAUGAUUAUUGGAGGUAGAGCACUGUUUGGACGAGGGGCCCCUCUCGGGUUACCGAAUUCAGACAAACUCCGAAUGCCAAUUAAUUUAACUUGGGAGUCAGAACAUGGGUGAUAAGGUCCGUGUUCGAAAGGGAAACAGCCCAGACCACCAGCUAAGGUCCCAAAAUAUAUGUUAAGUGGAAAAGGAUGUGGCGUUGCCCAGACAACUAGGAUGUUGGCUUAGAAGCAGCCAUCAUUUAAAGAGUGCGUAAUAGCUCACUAGUCGAGUGACACUGCGCCGAAAAUGUACCGGGGCUAAACAUAUUACCGAAGCUGUGGAUUGUCCUUUGGACAAUGGUAGGAGAGCGUUCUAAGGGCGUUGAAGCAUGAUCGUAAGGACAUGUGGAGCGCUUAGAAGUGAGAAUGCCGGUGUGAGUAGCGAAAGACGGGUGAGAAUCCCGUCCACCGAUUGACUAAGGUUUCCAGAGGAAGGCUCGUCCGCUCUGGGUUAGUCGGGUCCUAAGCUGAGGCCGACAGGCGUAGGCGAUGGAUAACAGGUUGAUAUUCCUGUACCACCUAUAAUCGUUUUAAUCGAUGGGGGGACGCAGUAGGAUAGGCGAAGCGUGCGAUUGGAUUGCACGUCUAAGCAGUAAGGCUGAGUAUUAGGCAAAUCCGGUACUCGUUAAGGCUGAGCUGUGAUGGGGAGAAGACAUUGAGUCUUCGAGUCGUUGAUUUCACACUGCCGAGAAAAGCCUCUAGAUAGAAAAUAGGUGCCCGUACCGCAAACCGACACAGGUAGUCAAGAUGAGAAUUCUAAGGUGAGCGAGCGAACUCUCGUUAAGGAACUCGGCAAAAUGACCCCGUAACUUCGGGAGAAGGGGUGCUCUUUAGGGUUAACGCCCAGAAGAGCCGCAGUGAAUAGGCCCAAGCGACUGUUUAUCAAAAACACAGGUCUCUGCUAAACCGUAAGGUGAUGUAUAGGGGCUGACGCCUGCCCGGUGCUGGAAGGUUAAGAGGAGUGGUUAGCUUCUGCGAAGCUACGAAUCGAAGCCCCAGUAAACGGCGGCCGUAACUAUAACGGUCCUAAGGUAGCGAAAUUCCUUGUCGGGUAAGUUCCGACCCGCACGAAAGGCGUAACGAUUUGGGCACUGUCUCAACGAGAGACUCGGUGAAAUCAUAGUACCUGUGAAGAUGCAGGUUACCCGCGACAGGACGGAAAGACCCCGUGGAGCUUUACUGUAGCCUGAUAUUGAAAUUCGGCACAGCUUGUACAGGAUAGGUAGGAGCCUUUGAAACGUGAGCGCUAGCUUACGUGGAGGCGCUGGUGGGAUACUACCCUAGCUGUGUUGGCUUUCUAACCCGCACCACUUAUCGUGGUGGGAGACAGUGUCAGGCGGGCAGUUUGACUGGGGCGGUCGCCUCCUAAAAGGUAACGGAGGCGCUCAAAGGUUCCCUCAGAAUGGUUGGAAAUCAUUCAUAGAGUGUAAAGGCAUAAGGGAGCUUGACUGCGAGACCUACAAGUCGAGCAGGGUCGAAAGACGGACUUAGUGAUCCGGUGGUUCCGCAUGGAAGGGCCAUCGCUCAACGGAUAAAAGCUACCCCGGGGAUAACAGGCUUAUCUCCCCCAAGAGUUCACAUCGACGGGGAGGUUUGGCACCUCGAUGUCGGCUCAUCGCAUCCUGGGGCUGUAGUCGGUCCCAAGGGUUGGGCUGUUCGCCCAUUAAAGCGGUACGCGAGCUGGGUUCAGAACGUCGUGAGACAGUUCGGUCCCUAUCCGUCGUGGGCGUAGGAAAUUUGAGAGGAGCUGUCCUUAGUACGAGAGGACCGGGAUGGACAUACCUCUGGUGUACCAGUUGUCGUGCCAACGGCAUAGCUGGGUAGCUAUGUGUGGACGGGAUAAGUGCUGAAAGCAUCUAAGCAUGAAGCCCCCCUCAAGAUGAGAUUUCCCAACUUCGGUUAUAAGAUCCCUCAAAGAUGAUGAGGUUAAUAGGUUCGAGGUGGAAGCAUGGUGACAUGUGGAGCUGACGAAUACUAAUCGAUCGAAGACUUAAUCAA